CUUGUGUCGUCACUAGAUCUCUUAAAAAGAUGGACCCUCAGCGGCGCUUCCUCGUAGCGAGCCUAGUGGCGGGUGUUUGCAUUGAAACGUGAGCGCGACCCGACCUUAAAGAGUGGGGAGCAAAGGGAGGACAGAGCCCUUUAAAACGAGGCGGGUGGUGCCUGCCCCUUUAAGGGCGGGGCGUCCGGACGACUGUAUCUGAGCCCCAGACUGCCCCGAGUUUCUGUCGCAGGCUGCGAGGAAAGGCUCCUAGGCUGGGUCCGGGUGCUUGGCGGCGGCGGCUUCCUCCCCGCUCGUCCUUCCCGGGCCCAGAGGCACCUCGGCUCCAGUCAUGCUGAGCAGAGUAUGGAAGCACCUGACUACGAAGUGCUAUCCGUGCGAGAACAGCUAUUCCACGAGAGGAUCCGCGAGUGUAUUAUAUCAACACUUCUGUUUGCAACACUGUACAUCCUCUGCCACAUCUUCCUGACCCGCUUCAAGAAGCCUGCUGAGUUCACCACAGGUACUUUGAUUUCCCUCCCUCCUGCCAGAGUCCCUGUUGCCAUGGACCAGCCUCAGGGGAAUGGGCCUAUGGUACCCACUGGGAAAGGAGCAGUGGCUGUGUGGGGCUGUUCUGGAGCCUUUGCCUCUUCAGCCUCCCUUUCUGCAAGAUAGGGGCAAGGGCGGCUAGAUGGACGUGUCUGCUGGGCAAGUCAUAUAACAUUUCUGAUCCUCAGUUUCAUCCUACAAAAUGGGCAUAACAAUGUCUACCUACUCCAUUGUGUGGACCAAAGGAGAUGGUUAAUGUGAAAGCCCUUUGUGAACCUGAAGUGAGCAACUGCUGGAUGAAUGUCAUUACGGGCACAGGCUCUGUGUCAUCUCCUCUCCUAGUGCU
rnacentral:sRNA from 1 species